ACCGUUCCUGUGAGAGCAGAGGGACAGUGAUGCGCGCCAGUCAAAGUCAUCCUCACUGCAACUGCACUGCAAAUAUGAUCCGUCUGCUCCUUCCCCUCUUGGCCUUUCUGCCAUGUCUGGACGCCAUCACUUUGACCUCCUCCCCUGCUCAGGCCAAGUCACCUGGAGGGUCCGUGAAGGUGUCCUGUCAGGUUUCUGGGUACGCCUUGACAGAUUACGGCACGAGCUGGAUUCGGAAGCGUCCGGGGAAAGCCAUGGAGUGGAUGGGAAUCAUCUGGGGAGGCGGAAGCAUCGACUCUCCCGCGCAGUUCAAGAGCCGGUUCACCAUCUCCAGAGACAGCAGCAACGUGCUGUACUUGGAUAUCAGCAGCCUGCAGACUGAGGACACAGCCGUGUAUUACUGCGCUCGACUCACACAGUGACGCAGGGCGGUGCCGCGUCUGUG